CCCUGCCUUUUGUACACACCGCCCGUCGUUACUACCGAUUGAAUGACUUAGUGAGGAUUCGGGACCGGCAGCUGGCCUGGCAACAGGACCAGUCGCUGGGAACUUGUUCAAACUUGGCCAUUUAGAGGAAGUAC
rnacentral:rRNA from 1 species